GGGCCGUUAGCUCAGUUGGUAGAGCAACAGACUUUUAAUCUGUAGGUCUUGGGUUCGAAACCCAAACGGCUCACCA
rnacentral:tRNA from 1 species